GGUUCGUAGUGACUGCGGAGGAUCAUUACAGAGUUCAUGCCCUAACGGGUAGACCUCCCACCCUUUGUUAUACCUACCUUUGUUGCUUUGGCAGGCCGCCUUCGGGCUAUCGGCUUCGGCUGGUGCGUGCCUGCCAGAGGACCUCAAACUCUGAAUUUUAAUGUCGUCUGAGUACUAUAUAAUAGUUAAAACUUUCAACAACGGAUCUCUUGGUUCUGGCAUCGAUGAAGAACGCAGCGAAAUGCGAUAAGUAAUGUGAAUUGCAGAAUUCAGUGAAUCAUCGAAUCUUUGAACGCACAUUGCGCCCCUUGGUAUUCCGGGGGGCAUGCCUGUUCGAGCGUCAUUACAACCCUCAAGCUAUGCUUGGUUAUGGGCCGUGCCGGCAACGGCUGGCCCCAAAAUUAGUGGCGGCGCCAUCGUGCUCUCAGCGUAGUAAUUCUUCUCGCUGUUGGGUCCCGGUGGACGCUGGCCAGCAACCCCCAGUUUUUUAUGGUUGACCUCGGAUCAGGUAGGGAUACCCGCUGAACUUAAGCAUAUCAAUAAGCGGAGGAAAAGAAACCAACAGGGAUUGCCUCAGUAACGGCGAGUGAAGCGGCAACAGCUCAAAUUUGAAAUCUGGCUCUUUCAGGGUCCGAGUUGUAAUUUGUAGAAGAUGCUUCGGGUGUGGCUCCGGUCUAAGUUCCUUGGAACAGGACGUCAUAGAGGGUGAGAAUCCCGUAUGUGACUGGCUGCCUCCCCCAUGUGAAGCUCUUUCGACGAGUCGAGUUGUUUGGGAAUGCAGCUCAAAAUGGGUGGUAAAUUUCAUCUAAAGCUAAAUAUUGGCCAGAGACCGAUAGCGCACAAGUAGAGUGAUCGAAAGAUGAAAAGCACUUUGGAAAGAGAGUUAAACAGUACGUGAAAUUGUUGAAAGGGAAGCGCUUGCAAUCAGACUUGCGCGCGGUCGAUCAUCCAAUGUUCUCACCGGUGCACUCGACCGUGCUCAGGCCAGCAUCGGUUUCGGUGGUUGGAUAAAGGCCUUGGGAAUGUGGCUCUCUUCGGGGAAU
rnacentral:rRNA from 1 species